AGAACCGAGCCGCUCUACAACGACUACCGCAAGAUUAGUCAAAAGCUCAGCGAUGGAAAAUUCACACUCACACACUUUGAUGAGUUCAUUGAUGAGCUCAUGACCAAGGAGUACAGCUGCGACACUGCCCUCCCCCGCGUUCAGAAAAGAUGGGUCCUUCAAGCUUCUAGAACUCUAGAACCAAGAAGAAGUGCACUUGAAGAUGAUUUUGAGGAAGAGGAGGAAGAUAAGGAGGAUGGGCAGCCUAUGGACGUAGAUGAGCCUAACACUCAUGAAAAGUCUCUGCAGAAAGGAAACUCAUUCAGCUGGAAUUAGUGUGUAGUUGUGAAUAGUCAGUACAUCAAGAUUUGGCUGGCCCAAGCUUCUCUCGGACCCAUGCUCCUUGAUAUUUGAGUUAUGUUCUUUGAACCUCUUGUCCGCACACCAUAAAACUAUUAGACGAACUCUGACUCUACUUUUCGAGACCGUCCACCUUUUUGAGACUGCUAAACCUUGAUCUCAACCGUUGGUCGUGUCGGUGAUGGGUCAUUCACCGGACUGGCCCUUCUCUGUUAAUAUGAACCUGUUAGCAUCUAUGAAACUACUAUGCUUGAUCUGCUUCAUAUGAAAGUACUAAGCUUCCUUCCUUUAUGAAUGAACAUUCCUCUACUGCAGGUCUAUUACUCUGUGUUCUUUUUUUAAUCACUAAAAUGCCACUCUUUCUCAUCUGCUCAAUAAGCCAACCAACCUGUCAUUUAAAGACGUUAACAUAUACUAUAACAAGUUUAGUGCACACAAUCACACCGAGAAGGUGCUCCCGGGGCUAAUUUAGCGACUAAUUUAUGUAUUCUUGUUGACCAGAAUUUUGUUGGACUUUCUAUUACUGAUGGUUACAUUGAUACUGGGUCGGAAACAAAUGAGGUAUGCAUUCUAGGUUUGCAUCAACUUUUUUUGCUGAAUUCUGAAGAUACAGUUCUACCGAGAAUCAAGCUUUAGCUCAAGGAUAUGUGUGUAUUGUGCACUCCCAGCUGGCUGGAUUCAGGCCCUGUUGGAUGAAUGAAGAGUUUGUUACCCUCCUGCUUAAGAAUACACAAAACAAUCAGAACUACCAUUCCCUGCUAAAAAUGAAAAUUCAAACUAUCUGGACAUUUAGUUGUUACGAUGAUGUGCAUGUGAUUUUGAUUUGCAGAUUUGAUAGUUGGGUUUUUCUUAUAUCUUGAUAUUGUGUAGUUGUCACCACGACGAAGAUGCAGGAGCAUGCUGGGAGCGGCAGGUCGUGCCUGUGGCACACUCUGGAUUUUGCGGACUAUGAGUUCAAGAAUAAUAUCUUCGCCAUCCGCUUUGGAUCCGUGGAGAGUGAGCAUUGAGCACCCUGUAACCUGUGCAGCUUCUGUGUUUUCAUUUGCUAUCAACAUGAUAACAUUCAUGGCUAUGAGAUAUAUUAAUUCCUGAAAAUGAAAUGAGUAGCUGUUUUUUGACAUCUCAGUUUUAAUGGACAACUAGGGCCUAUUGAUUUGGAAUUGUUGGCGCACGAUUUGCUUGAGAAAAAACAAGCUGUUGAGGUAAUUUGUACACCUAAGUUGAUUCUACAUAUUAAUUACAUCAAUGCAAAAAUAAAAUAUUAUACGAGCACGAAGGUUCUGAUGAUUAGAAUGUAAUUUUUUUCACUAACUGGGAACAUAUCAGUGACCUGGUUGUAGGGGUCAGGUGGCUGCUUCAUCUCAGUUGAGUUCUACAAACUAUCAGUUUUUGAAUAUAAAUGUUCUGACUUGCUAGCAGAUACUGUAAUACGCCAAGUUGAUUCCCAUCAGUUAAAUAUAGUUCUGUAGAGAAGUAUGAUAAUAUUUUGGAGCAAUGUGGAAUUGUGGAUGCAUUAAUACAUCGUUUUUCUGAA